GACGAACGCUGGCGGCGUGCUUAACACAUGCAAGUCGAACGGAAAGGCCCUGCUUUUGUGGGGUGCUCGAGUGGCGAACGGGUGAGUAACACGUGAGUAACCUGCCCUUGACUUUGGGAUAACUUCAGGAAACUGGGGCUAAUACCGGAUAGGAGCUCCUGAUGCAUGGUGGGGGUUGGAAAGUUUCGGCGGUUGGGGAUGGACUCGCGGCUUAUCAGCUUGUUGGUGGGGUAGUGGCUUACCAAGGCUUUGACGGGUAGCCGGCCUGAGAGGGUGACCGGCCACAUGGUGACUGAGAUACGGCCCAGACUCCUACGGGAGGCAGCAGUGGGGAAUAUUGCACAAUGGGCGGAAGCCGGAUGCAGCAACGCCGCGUGCGGGAUGACGGCCUUCGGGUUGUAAACCGCUUUCGCCUGUGACGAAGCGUGAGUGGCGGUAAUGGGUAAAGAAGCACCGGCUAACUACGUG
rnacentral:rRNA from 1 species